rnacentral:misc_RNA from 1 species
GAUGAAGAACGUAGCGAAAUGCGAUAAGUAAUGCGAAUUGCAGAAUUCCGUGAGUCAUCGAAUGUUUGAACGCACAUUGCGCCCUCUGGUAUUCCGGAGGGCAUGCCUGUCUGAGCGUCAUUGUCAACCCUCAAGCUCAGCUUGCUGUUGGGUCCCCGUCGUUGCUUUAACGGCGGACCCGAAAGGUAAUGGCAGAGUCCGUGAGACCCUAGACGCAGCGAGCUUCUAGCACGCGUCUGGACGUUUUUCGGGCUCGGUCUUAACUAGAUGAUAACUUCCGAUUGACCUCAGAUCAGGUAGGGAUACCCGCUGAACUUAAGCAUAUCAAUAAGCGGAGGA